AGGUGCGAUCAUACCAGCACUAAUGCACCGGAUCCCAUCAGAACUCCGCAGCUAAGCGUGCUUGGGCGAGAGUAGUACUAGGAUGGGUGACCUCCUGGGAAGUCCUCGUGUUGGCACUUC
rnacentral:rRNA from 1 species